GGCGGGCCUUCCGGUGCUGGCGGCGGGGCUGUGGCGUGUGCCUUGCGUGGGGCCCGAGCGCCCAACUGGUGGCAGGCUCCGGGCGCCCGGCGGCAGGCGGUCUGUGCGGGUUGCGUUGUGUCCGGUGGACAGGCGGCAGCCGUGGGGCGGGGUUUGGGGCAGGCAGGCCUCCGGUGUCCCCAGAGUGCCCCGGGGAGACCUGCCUGAGGGACCCAGGUCCCGCGCGCCAGGGGGCCUGGUGUGGCGGGCCUGGAGGGUGAAGGGCGAGCGACCCGAGCCCACAGCCUGGCGGCAGGGGACGCCCCUGGCCAUUGGCGGUCAGGGCGAGGUGCGGCCCUGCGGGGUCUCGCACAGGCUCCAGGGCCCUUGGGGUCCCGGAGGGUCCAGCAGAAGGGUCUGUGUUUUGCCCGGGGUCCUGAGAGCGUGCUGGGGAUAGCAGGGGUGGAGUGCAGGUGUGCCCAUGGGCGCCCCGGGUCCAGGGCCCGCGGAGCCGCUCUCGGGGCGGAGACCUUGCCCCCAGGGGCACGUCAGCGGUCCUGAGGUGAGGCUCCUGCAGAGCACUCUGGGCCGCGUGUGUCUCUCCCUGCGUGGGCAGGCAGUGUCGGUGGCCGGAGCGAGGGUGUUUUCCCAUCGGGGUGAGAGGGAGAGCCCCAGGGUGGGCCUGGGGGCGGAAUCGGACUCGGGGUUGGGGUGGACUCUUCUGAAGCUGGGAGGGGUGCGGGUGGGCAGGGCCUUAGGGAGCCUGAGGGAGGCGCGGUUCCUGGGGGAAGGGUGUGGCGAGGCGGCGGCAGCCCGCGUGGCGCUGUGGCGCCCCAGCGAAGGGGCAGUGCUGGCCACUCGUGUGGCCCUUUGGCUGCUGGCACCCAGUGAGAGGGGGGAGGCCAGGGACAGGUGGCAGCCAGGCUGCCCACAGGCCCUGGGCGGUGGGGGGCCCGGCCCCUGUGCCUUGGGCAGCCUGAGCCUUGCUGAGGCGUGCUUGGGCGUGUCCGUUGUCGCCCUCACCCAGCUGCUGUGGCGGAGAGACGGAGGCCAGCGCGGGGAGCGGAAGCCGGAGCCUGUCGGGAGCGACCCCGGGAAGGCCAGUCCCUCCUGCCGGAGGGAGGCGUGUUGGCGUGCGGCCGGUGGCGGGAUCGAUGGCCACCUGGUAGGCGAUGCUGCUGCGGCGGAGAGACGGAGGCCAGCGCGGGGAGCGGAAGCCGGAGCCUGUCGGGAGCGACCCCGGGAAGGCCAGUCCCUCCUGCCGGAGGGAGGCGUGUUGGCGUGCGGCCGGUGGCGGGAUCGAUGGCCACCUGGUAGGCGAUGGUAAGCGGCAGUGGCCUGCGCCAAGGUAGCCCCCGGGGGGCGGUGUGUGGCGCCCGGACCCGCACCCUCUGCUCCCGGGGGUGGAGCUGACCUGCUUGCCCGCGGUUGGGCUCGGGAGCCUGCGGGCCGCGGCCAGGAGGGAGCUGGCUGGCCGUCCCGGCGGUGGGGGCUGUGGCGGUGGCCGUCCCGCGGGUGUGCCCGUGCUCGGAUCGAUGAUGACACCCACAAACGCAUUCCUUGGAAAAUCUGAACAAAAUGAGUGAGAACUCACUACCGUCUCCUCAUCGCAAACUGAGGUCCGGCACGUGGCUCCCACAGGGGACGUCGGGGGAGGGUCCCGUUGCCUUGGCUCCCUUGGGUGCGUGCAGCCCUGGGGCGCAGGUGGGGGCAGGCAGGCCUCCGGUGGCCCCGGAGGGCCAUGGGGAGAGGAGCCUUGGGGCUGGCCUCCUCGAGGGCAGCCCCGGGGCCCCGGGGCCCCGGGGCCGGCGGAAAGCCUUGGGAGUGGCAGGCCCAGUGUGGGGUGGGCUGCCUGCGGUGUGUGUGAGCGCCGCUGGGCUCUCAGGCCUGCGGCUGCCUCCUUGAGGCCUCCGCGGGGUCCUGCCCGCGGUGUCGGGCGCAGAGGGUGUCUGUAGGUUGCGGGUGAGCAGCGGGGGCCUUGGCCUCGGCGGGACUGCCGACCCAGGUUCUGGUGGGGAGAGAGGAGGCCGGCCGGGGGGCCUUGCCGAGAUGGCCGUUUGGGCGGGGUCGGACGCCUUGGCCUGGGCCUUCACGGGGUCGGCGGGGCUGCCAGUGCCUUUCCCUCGCAGAGUCCUUGGUGGUCAUCGAGAACCCUGGAGCCCCUGCGGCAUUUCCCAGAGACGUGGAGGCGGUGGGGCGCCAGGUGGCCCUGGGCGGUGCCGAGUCGGCCGCGGACUGGGGUCGAGAGAAGUGCAGGAGGGCCAGAGGUCCUGGGCCAGUGUGCGCAGAGCACCGUGAGGGGGAGUGUUGGGUGCCCGGGGCGGCAG
rnacentral:lncRNA from 1 species